rnacentral:rRNA from 1 species
GAUGAACGCUGGCGGCGUGCCUAAUACAUGCAAGUCGAGCGAACGGACGAGAAGCCUGCUUCUCUGAUGUUAGCGGCGGACGGGUGAGUAACACGUGGAUAACCUACCUAUAAGACUGGGAUAACUUCGGGAAACCGUAGCUAAUACCGGAUAAUAUUUUGAACCGCAUGGUUCAAAAGUGAAAGACGGUCUUGCUGUCACUUAUAGAUGGAUCCGCGCUGCAUUAGCUAGUUGGUAGGGUAACGGCUUACCAAGGCAACGAUGCAUAGCCGACCUGAGAGGGUGAUCGGCCACACUGGAACUGAGACACGGUCCAGACUCCUACGGGAGGCAGCAGUAGGGAAUCUUCCGCAAAGGGCGAAAGCCUGACGGAGCAACGCCGCGUGAGUGAUGAAGGUCUUCGGAUCGUAAAACUCUGUUAUUAGGGAAGAACAUAUGUGUAAGUAACUGUGCACAUCUUGACGGUACCUAAUCAGAAAGCCACGGCUAACUACGUG